GUGUUAUUUGGCUGCCGUUUGUUUCACUAAGGAGCAAAAAACCGAAGAGAAAUACUGCACCCCCACCUCUGCUGUCACCAGUCUGUCUAUCUCCAUUUGUCAUCCACCUCCCUGCUCGGGGAUGCUCCCAUACGUUGCAGAAAUCCUCCUGUGGAGACAACAAGGCAGUGGAGCAGCACACACAUGCUCAGAGGAGAGCAUUUUGGAUUGAAGUCUCUAAACCCAUCAAAACUGCCAUUGUAAAUCAAACUGACAGUCAAUUACAAGAUGAACUACGCAUUUGAACAAGUCCAGCUUAGAAAGCCCAGCCAUCUCUAAUAUACUUAUGGACCUGCAAAUGCUCUUCAUUUGCAGGACAGAGGGGUGACCACCGCGUGCGAUCAGCUGCUGCUGAGGUGUGGUAUAUAAAAAAAUAGCAGAACUGUAAAGGAACUCAGAGGAAUUUAGUCAAAAUGAUCAGAAAAGCGUUAUCUGCCUCCCAAGGAAUAAACUUGAGUUGGUAAGGGUGCUAAUUUUCCUGAAGCUUUAUUGUAUCUGAGGCAUUAACACUUUCAUUACUGGUAUAUGUCAUCCAGAUUCUGACACAUCGAUGCACAUUUCAAAACGGC
ensembl:lncRNA